AAUGAACGCUGGCGGCAGGCCUAAUACAUGCAAGUCGAACGAGAGGCGGACGGGUGAGUAAUGACUGGGAAACUGACCGAUGGAGGGGGAGAACCACUGGAAACGGUAGCCAAUACCGCAGACUAUCGGACGUGCCCAGAUGGGGUUAGCUAGUAGGUGGGGUAACGGCUCACUUAGGCGACGAUCCCUAGCUGGCCUGAGAGGAUGACCAGCCACACUGGAACUGAGACACGGUCCAGACUCCUACGGGCGGCAGCAGUGGGGAAUAUUGCACAAUGGGCGCAAGCCUGCUGCAGCCAUGCCGCGUGUAUGAAGAAGGCCUUCGGGUUGUAAAGUACUUUCAGCGGGGAGGCGUUACUCGCAGAAGAAGCACCGGCUAACUCCGUGCCAGCAGCCGCGGUAAUAC
rnacentral:rRNA from 1 species